rnacentral:rRNA from 1 species
GACGAACGCUGGCGGCGUGCUUAACACAUGCAAGUCGAACGGAAAGGCCCUGCUUUUGUGGGGUGCUCGAGUGGCGAACGGGUGAGUAACACGUGAGUAACCUGCCCUUGACUUUGGGAUAACUUCAGGAAACUGGGGCUAAUACCGGAUAGGUGCUCCUGCUGCAUGGUGGGGGUGGGAAAGUUUCGGCGGUUGGGGAUGGACUCGCGGCUUAUCAGCUUGUUGGUGGGGUAGUGGCUUACCAAGGCUUUGACGGGUAGCCGGCCUGAGAGGGUGACCGGCCACAUUGGGACUGAGAUACGGCCCAGACUCCUACGGGAGGCAGCAGUGGGGAAUAUUGCACAAUGGGCGGAAGCCUGAUGCAGCAACGCCGCGUGCGGGAUGACGGCCUUCGGGUUGUAAACCGCUUUCGCCUGUGACGAAGCGUGAGUGACGGUAAUGGGUAAAGAAGCACCGGCUAACUACGUG